UGGGCAAGCAUCGGUCUCCUUUGAUCUGAAGAUCCUGCCCACUCCGCCCCUCGCCCCAGCCAGAGCCGCGGGAGCAGGAGGUCGCGUGGGUGCCAGACGCUGCCCAGGCGCACCGAGCGCAGCUCUGCCCGGGCUCUCCGCGGGGAUCACGCGGGACACCGGUUUGCGGGGUCGCCCUCCCUGCGGUGCUUUCCAAGGACCCUCAUGCCCUGUCCAGGUGCACAUUCACCACAUGGGGCUUACUAGGUGACCUCGUUCUAAGUAAAAUGCCUUGAGAAACCAAAGGGAUGGGGCAUCCGUAUCCAUUUUCUUUUAACAAGCGCUGUGGGUGUUGGGGAUGCGGGAGAAAUAGGUGUUUUUUUUUUUUUUAAGAGAAAAUUGCAAAACCUCUUGGGCAGGAUUCGACCUACUAGUCUCUUCCGCUGCUUAAUAAGAGGUGCCUUCUACCUUGAUGGUCACUUUCCUGAGGACUCCCAAGCCAUACAGAACUGUGAGUCAAUAAAACCUUUUAUCUUUAUAAAUUAUUCAGUCUUGCGUAUGUCUUUAUUAGCAGUGUGAGAAUGAACUAAUACAAUAUCAACUCGUGGAAUUCUCCUUAAGGGAAAUUUUUAGCUUUAAAGCAUGUAUUUGAAAAAAGGAAAGUUGUGUAGCAAUCAUUUAAACUUCCAAUGCAAUUAGAUUUUUAAGAAGUUAAAUAAAAAAUAGAAAAAAUGAAGUAAUUAAAAACAUUUAAAAAUCAAUGCAAUACACAGAAAUAAAUUAAUAAAGCUAAAUUAGGUACUUUAAAAAAUUAAUACUGAUACUGAAAAAUAAAUUAUUCAUAUAGAAGUUAAAUAGAAGACAUUAUCAUAAAUACAACAGAUGUUAGCAAGAAAAUAAGCUGUUAUACACAGUUUCAUGUAGGUAAAUUUGAAAAUCUGGGGAAAAGGAUAAAUUCCUUAAAAGUAAAACCUAUCAAACAUGGUAGAAGAAGAAAUAAUAGGCCAGGUACGGUGGCUCACACCUGUAAUUCCAGCAUUUUGGGAGGCUGAGGUGGGCAGAUCACCUGAGGUCAGGAUUUGAGACCAGCCUUCCCAACAUGGUAAAACCCCAUCUUUUCUGAAAAUGCAAAAAAUUAGCCAGAUGUGGUGGCAGGUGCCUGUGAUCCCAGCUAUCUACUUGGGAGGCUAAGGCAGGAGAAUCACUUGACCUGGGAAGUGGAGGUUGCAGUGAGCUGAGAUCGUACCACUGCACUCCUGCUUGGGCAACAAGAGUGAAACUUUAUCUCAAAAACAAAAGAAGAAGAAAUCAAAAUGUCUGCACAACCCAACGUUUAUUAAAGUAGAAUUUAUAAUUAAAAUCCCUUUCAUUAAGAAAAUUCUAGGGUCAAGUGGGUCUAUUUGUGAAUUUUUCCAAACAUUUAGAAAUAAAUACCACCGAAUUUUACAUAAUAUUUUCCAAAGAACAGUAGAAGGAAAAAUAUAUAUUCCAACUCAUUUGAUGGAGCUGCCAUUAUCUUGAUACAAAUACCUAAAAAUAAUAUCACAAGAAAAAAUUCAUGUUAAUGUAUCUCAUAUAUGAAGAUGUAAAAAUAUUAUAAGUAUAUAUAUUUUAAAUGCAAUCAAUGCAAC
rnacentral:lncRNA from 1 species